rnacentral:rRNA from 1 species
GACGUAGGGCGCGAGCGUUGUCCGGAUUUAUUGGGCGUAAAGAGCUCGUAGGCGGCUUGUCGCGUCGUUCGUGAAAACCCACGGCUCAACUGUGGGCUUGCGGUCGAUACGGGCAGGCUGGAGUUCGGUAGGGGAGACUGGAAUUCCUGGUGUAGCGGUGAAAUGCGCAGAUAUCAGGAGGAACACCGGUGGCGAAGGCGGUCUGCUGGGCAGUUGCUGACACUGAGGCACGAAAGCUAGGGGAGCAAACAGG